rnacentral:lncRNA from 1 species
AACUAUGUAUGUAGCUACAGAUAUACAGACAAAACACACUGUUUGCCUUGAAAAACUACAGAUCGACGCUGAAGUGGGUAGGUCACUGCAUACGAAUUUCCGUAUGUAUGUAUUGUGUGACAAAUCUCUGCGAGACGAACAUUUUUUUGUGAAUGCACUACAAAUAAUGAAGCUUCAAGAGAUAAUAACAAGAGUAAAAGAGAGUGACUGCCCAUGCCUCUCCCCCUUGAGAAUCCACAAAGCCUAUGGAGUGCCAAAUGGAAUCGAAUUACCAACCAAGCAGCCAAAAGGGCGUCUCCUUCUCGGCUCUAAAAGCAUAUCAGAGGUCGCCGCUACAUGAUACUAACUGGCAGACAGGGCGGCGGAUAGGGAGGGAUGGAUCGAGUCAACCGGACGUGGACGACGACGAGGGCCAGGAGGUUUAGGGUGCGCUGGUGCCAGGGCGUCCGUGGGUAGAGGUCCUCCAUGAACUCCAGCAGUGGCAGCAUUGGCUGGUCUCCGGCUCUUCCUUUCUUGUCGUCCAAGAAGACGAGACGAGGAGGAGGAUCUAUUUCGGUCACCUAGCUGCACGAGGAAACCAAACAGCACUCGCAUCAGAAAGGGAAAAAUUGAACCAAGAGACUGGGUGGCGGAGAAGAGGGGCGCGGGAGAGGGUGAGGGGUAGUAUAUAUACAAAAUUGAACCAGACAACAUUCUCUAAAGCAAGCCAACCAGUUAUUUUACAAGACACUCUAAGGUACAAUGUUAGCAACAGCAGGUGCAGCCCUACAAUCAUGGAUGAGUAGUAUAUAUACAACAGAUCACAGUCACUUUGAAUUUUUGCAGCGUCUUAAAACUCCUAAUUAACCUACUGAAAAUAGAUACCAUUGUAACGACAUAACAAGGUGAUUUCCGUGCACUCAAUUUAAAUUCCCAUCAAUUCCCAAACUAAGCUUGGAAGGUGGUGGAGAUGUACAUAGAGCAUGUCUUUUAUGCCCAAAUUGUUCAUUUCCCUGCAUUCCACAUGAUUGUGGUCAUAGAAGCUACAGAGAUGUGCAUGCAUACAAGACAAGUUCAUAGUCAGUCACAUUCCCUUUGCUACAAUCUUAAUUAACUCUCUGAUUGCGCAGAAACUAAACAUGAUGUUAAUGCUCUUGCUAUAUACUUGAUCCAGCAAACACAACAGUAGUCGCUAGAGUAAGUAACAAGAGAAACACCAUGUCACAGCCAAACAGAGCAAAAAGUGCCUACUACAGACCAACCUAUGGCAUAGCCUCCUCUCCUGAAAUGCAUUUCUCCUCUCAGAAAAGAAAGAAUGCAUUUUUUGCUCUCAGAAAAGAUUGCAAACACACAUCGUCAAGGAAGGCAAGUAAGACGGAAGGGCACUCACUGUUGGGCACCUUUUACAGUUGAAGUGGGCCUCACACCGAUGGGCUCGCUGGUGAAGUUCUACCGCACGCACACCACAUGGCG